rnacentral:lncRNA from 1 species
AGGAACAUAAUUUUUUUUUUGAAAAAGGUUGCAGAUUGGGCUUCUAUUAAAUAAAACAUACUAACAUAAAUAGUUUUUAAAAAUAAAGAAAAGGAAGACCAGACAUGGGACCUGACCUAUUCAAAAGAAACUAAAUCAUAAAAAACUAAAGCUCCUAGGAAACCGUAAAAAUCAAAACAAAUCUAAAGCAUUUAAUGUUGCUUGUUCACUUGCCCAAUCAGUGUCAGAUCCAUCAUCUUUUCAUUUCAAAUCUCCGUUUUCUUUUUCAAGACGAUUUCAAUCUACCACCAGCAGACUUUAAUUAAUCUGUUUCUGCCCUCUCAUAUUCUCCUUAUCUCCCUUCCUCCCCAUUUUCGAUUCAAUCUGGUUCUCUUACCCUUUCACUUGCGGCUUGUUCUUCCGCCACUUCAGGGACCCCUCCGACCAGGUAAACUCCUAUCUUUCUCUUCAGCGUUUCUUUUGCUAGGAUAUGUGCAAGGCUAUUUGCUGAUCUCGGGAUAUAUUCAAAUCUGCAUUCUUUAAUUUUUAGCUGUAGUUGGUGAAUAUCAUGGAUAUAUGCACUUACCAAGGAUUUAUCUGGACUUUUUACCUUGUAUUUUCUUAUAAAUGAAAAAGAGUCACCUUCUAUAAUAACACUUUCCCAUUUCAUGUCAAUGACGAGUUGGAGAGCUUUCCGACAUGCGACUGCUUCCGCCUCAAAAGCUGAUGAUAUUCGGUGGUGAUUCUCCUCAAAUGAGAGAAGAACUGUACCCUCUCUAUCUCUGGCCACUAUACCCACUGCCGAUCUAUUUUGUCUAUCGUCAUAAGCUCCAUCGAAGUUAAUCUUAACAAUCCAGUCAGGUGGCUUCCUCCAUUUUUUGACAGUUAUGGUAACUUUUGGUCUUCUUUUAUCAACCUCAUUUAACUCUGUUAUGUAACUCUGAACAUAUCUUGCCAUUUCUUUUCCAGAUUUACCCCCGUUCUUAUGAACCCUAGCAUUCCUAUCUCCCCAGAUAGCCCAUAGUGCGCAGCAGAAGAUCCGGCACUGAGAUGUCGAACUCUUCGAGAAAACCCAGGUAAGCCAUUGAGAGAAAUCCCUCUGAUUAUCAUGUAGAAAUUGAUGAAAUGAUAGCUCACUCCAUACUGACUCUGAAACAGGGCACUUACGAAAAAGAUGAUCCGUAUUCUCUUCACCUAAACCACAACGGGGGCACACAGUUGUAUUCGAUAGUUUCUUAAUUACCAUAUUAGCUCGUGUAGCUAGAAAAUUCGACGUGAUUUUCCACACUGUAAUUUUAAUCUUAGAGGGUAUAUUCAGUAACCAAAGCUUUCUGUAAAAGUCCUUGUAGUCCUCCUGUAACGCAUAAGCGCUAGGAUUAUCUUCAUUACCCUGUAAUAGUUUAUAGGCACUGCGCACUGUGUAUUCGCCCGACGCCUCAGCACGCCAGACUUGUAAGUCUUCAUGAGGUACCUCUGACAGCGGGAUACUCAGAAUCUUCUCAGCAACGUCCUCCGAGAAGGUUGACUCGAUUAACUCCUUGUUCCAUGUUCUGUUUCUAGGUCGAUAAAAUCUGCAACUCUAGUAUCGUUUAAGUUUAAAUCCAAACAUGAUAACCUUCCCAACGAUAGAUCUGGAAUCCAAUAAUCACCAGUAACAGAAAUAUUCAUGCUGCUGCCCACCUUCCAGCCUACUCCCUCCGAUACAACACCAUUAGUGGCCCAAAUACUUUUCCAAGUAUACGAAACAUUAUUCCCCAACUGCGAAUUUAAGAAAACAUUUGGAAAAUAUUUUGCUUUUAAAACUUGUGCUACUAAAGAGUUCGGAUUAUUCCAAAUUCGCCACCCUUGUUUGGCCAGUAAUGAUAUGUUGAAUUGGGCCAAAUUUCUAAAACCCAAACCACCUUCUUCUUUAGGCCUACAUAAAUACUUACAUUGACACCAAUGAAUACCACUUUUACCAUGCGCUUUCUGCCACCAGAAUUUAGCAUAGAUAUUUUCAAUAUCUCUACACAUUGUCUUCGGUAAUAAAAACACAACAUAGCAUAAGUUGGGAUGGCUUGCAAAACUGAUUUUAUAAGGGCUUUCUUCCCCCUUGGGAUAACACUCUUGUACUCCAACCAUCAAUUCUAGUGGAAAUCUUCUCUCUUAAUUGCUGAAAGGAUUCUUUCUUACGUCUAUCCACAACAUUCGGAAGCCCCAAAUAACGUUCUAUAUUUAUUGAAACCCUUACCCCCAGUAUUGCCGAAACUUCUUUCUUCUUAUCCUCAGAGGUAUUUGUGCUAAAAAAUAUGGAAGAUUUAUUAAAAUUAACGCAUUGCCCAGGGAACUUCUCAUAUUCCUUUAAGAUUUCUUUCAUCGCAGUCGCCCCCAUCUCUGUUGCCUCCCCAAACAGAAUGCAAUCAUCUGCAAAAAGCAAAUGAGAUAUUUCUGGGCUUCUACUAGCCUUAGCACCCCUUAUCAAUCCCCUUUUUGAAGCCAUUCUCAUCAAGGAUGAUAAUUCCUCACUGCAUAUCAAAAAUAGGAAAGGACUCAGCAGAUUUCCUUGACGCAAACCUCUAGAUGGUCUAAAGAUUCUGCCCCUUUCACCAUAAGUAUUAACUGCAAAAGACGUUGAGGUAACACAUUUCAUAACCAGCUCCACCCAUUCAGUCGCAAAACCCAUACAUAGCAUCACUUCUUUCAAAUAGCCCCAUUCAACUUUUUCAUAGGCUUUGCUUAUGUCCAGUUUAACAACCAUAUAUCCUUUUUUCUCGAUACGCUUCUGUCUAAAAGUAUGCAGGAUCUCAUAAGAAACUAACACAUUGUCGGUUAUUAACCUUUCCAGAACAAAUGCACUCUGAGCAGCAUCAAUAUAAUUUCCAAUUACUCCUUGGAGUCGAUUAACAAUUGCUUAUGCAACUAUCUUAUAGAUAACCGGGCACAAGCUAAUGGGUCUAAAGUUAACUAUAGUAAUAGGAUUUUGGGUUUUUGGAAUCAACACUAUAUCCGUUUGGUUAAAGGUAUCAAUACUUGCACCAUUAUUUAAAACUUCCAAGCAAAAAUUAUUAAUAUCCUUACCGACGAUAGGCCAAAAUUGCUGAUAAAAAAUUGCUAGAAAUCCGUCAAAUCCUGGUGCUUUUGUAGGUCCCAUUCCUUUUAAAGCUGCAACCACUUCUGUUGAAAAAGGCUUAAUCAAUUCACUAUUAAUCUCUGUCGAAAUAUUAUUCCUGAUGCCUUUUAAGAGAUAAAAUGAAUCCCCAAUCCCAUUUGUCGUGAACAACUUCUGGAUAUAUGAUGUAGCUACC